rnacentral:sRNA from 1 species
GGUGAUCUGGAAGGACAAUCUAUGAAUUGGACAAGUGAAGAAGGAAGAGGAGACAUUAUAAGAAGUGGGACCAACAUAGACCGAGCCUGGCAGUACUAUUGCAGAUAUCAUCCGAACAUGUUUGGGACCCAAGUCCAUGAUGAAGAUGCUUUUGGACCCAAUGGGAGGCAUUGUGAUGACCAAUGAUGGCAAUGCCAUUCUUCGAGAGAUUCAAGUCCAGCAUCCAGCGGCCAAGUCCAUGAUCGAAAUUAGCCGGACCCAGGAUGAAGAGGUUGGAGAUGGGACCACAUCAGUAAUUAUUCUUGCAGGGGAAAUGCUGUCUGUAGCUGAGCACUUCCUGGAGCAGCAGAUGCACCCAACAGUGGUGAUCAGUGCUUACCGCAAGGCAUUGGAUGAUAUGAUCAGCACCCUAAAGAAAAUAAGUAUCCCAGUCGACAUCAGUGACAGUGAUAUGAUGCUGAACAUCAUCAACAGCUCUAUUACUACCAAAGCCAUCAGUCGGUGGUCAUCUUUGGCUUGCAACAUUGCCCUGGAUGCUGUCAAGAUGGUACAGUUUGAGGAGAAUGGUCGGAAAGAGAUUGACAUAAAAAAAUAUGCAAGAGUGGAAAAG